rnacentral:rRNA from 1 species
ACGGCGAGUGAAGCGGCAACAGCUCAAAUUUGAAAUCUGGCCUCGUGCCCGAGUUGUAAUUUGUAGAGGAUGCUUUUGGCGACGCGCCUUCCGAGUUCCCUGGAACGGGACGCCAUAGAGGGUGAGAGCCCCGUCCGGUCGUGCGCCUAGCCUCUGUAAAGCUCCUUCGACGAGUCGAGUAGUUUGGGAAUGCUGCUCUAAAUGGGAGGUAUACGUCUUCUAAAGCUAAAUACCGGCCAGAGACCGAUAGCGCACAAGUAGAGUGAUCGAAAGAUGAAAAGCACUUUGAAAAGAGGGUUAAAUAGUACGUGAAAUUGCUGAAAGGGAAGCGCUUAUGACCAGACUUGGGCGCGGCGGAUCAUCCGGCGUUCUCGCCGGUGCACUCCACCGCCCCAGGCCAGCAUCAGUUCGCGCCGGGGGAUAAAGGCUUCGGGAAUGUGGCUCUCUCGGGAGUGUUAUAGCCCGUUGCGUAAUACCCUGGUGCGGACUGAGGUCCGCGCUCUGCAAGGAUGCUGGCGUAAUGGUCAUCAGUGACCCGUC